GAAUUAGAUUUAUGCAUUUUAUUCAGCAUAUUCAGUGUUUUAGCUCUGUUUUUUUAUCCAUAAGAGAAAGGUGAUAACCGAACUAAAAUUAGAACUAGCCAACACCCAUUCGGAAUUAAUUAUUAUCCGGACGUAUAAACUUUCUCAUGUAACUGAAUCUUAAGACAAUUAAAGAUUUUAGUAUAAUCAUCUCAGACCGCUGACAACAAAGUAGACUAAACUUCCCCAUCUCAAAACAGGAAAAUAUAAAUCAUUAUUAAUUAGUGCGACAGCAAUCACAAACAUGGUUGGCUGCACUCAAUUAAGACAUUUGCAGUGCAUGUAUACCAGACUGGGUGGAAUAUAUUAACUCUUCUCGUGCAUUCUGAAUUUAUUAAAAUGCUAAUAUGCAAAUUUUUCGCAAACUUUGUUUUCAAUGUUACUUUUAAUUAAUCUAGGUUAACGUAACAUUACUUUAUGGGUCAAUUUUAUACCAUCCAACGAAAAUUUAGUUUAUUCCAACCAAAAUUAAUAAUUUGGCCAAUAAUGCAAUGGGCAACGGGUUUAAUUUUUGCGUCCAACGAAAAUGUGAAAGCAUCCAACCAAAUUUUACAUAUCAUAUUAGUCUACUUUGCCUAUCAUAUUAUUGAUAGCAUACGUAAAUGGAUAGAUAUGGGUAUGUAUUUUCAUCAUUCACAAUUACCAUCACUAACUCACAUUUCUUCCCAAUUCUCAUUCAACUUUUGUCAGGCCAUUCCUUGUUAUUUCGUAAAACAAUUAACGAAAAUGUCAGAUUUUCAGCGACUAAAUAAUUAUCAAUCCGACUCUGAAGACUUGGUUGAAUAAACCUCACAAAGAAGCAAAAACGUAAUCCCGAAUUUAUUUUUUAUAAUUAGGAAAUAAACACUUACGGAGAGAGAGUUCCGUUAAGGCAAUAUUUUGGAUGUAUUAUGAAACUUCUGCUAAAUUGGUCUCGAGACAGAAACCCUGAUAAUUCAGACAGUAAAUGGUUUCAAAUUAGACCAUCAGUUUCAAAUUUGCUGAUCAAAAUCAUAUACUUGGGCACGGGAGAAAGCAGGACUUCGAUUUAGGAACCAGAGUGAAACUUCCAUGCAAUGUAUUUCACCAGCCGGAAAUAAAUCUAUUCGAAAGGAUGAAAUUGAUAGAAUCCUUGGGUUAAUCAAAAGAAUGUAUUGGAAAAAGUUUGAGCCGUACGCUUCAAGUAAACCGGCGUUCUGGAUUAUCAAUUUUAAAUUGCAUGACUGGAUUUCUUCCACUUGUUCUUGCUCUAUAUUCAAAAAAGUAUAUGUAUGCAGGCAUAUUGCUGAAAUGUGAAUAAUUAGAAAGAUAAUUGUUGUACCGGACAAUCUUAAAACUGAUGUUAUUGGAAGCUAAGCUAAGCGCGGUCGAAAAAAUUAGUUGGAAAUGCUUUGAUUAUUGACUAAAUUUUUAUACCUUCUUAUUUAUCGUAAAAUUUGAAGUACUUCAGGACAAGGAUUUCGUUUAUUUCUUAUUUGGAAAUUUAAUUAUUUUGUUGUGCAUUUUAAUGAAAGUUGUUGCAAAAUAAAUCAAUUCGUUGCCAAGUUCAUAAUUGGCGAAAUUAUUAAUUUUGGUUGGAUAAAGCUAUAUUUUCGUUGGACGGUUAAAUUGGCCCCCUUACUUUAUUAUUUAUUAGGUAUUCAUUCAUCGCAAGGGACAAGAAGAAACCAAUAAUUCCGUUUCCCUCAUACGAACCCCAUCAAAAUUAUGAAAACGAAAUAAAAUAAUACUGUUCGAAAUCAUUGAUACUGCCACUUAAUAAUUUUCACCUUUUGUUUGUAGGUUACAACCCAUGGUGGCAACCUCUUAUGGCCUCGGCGUCUUUAAAAAAAUUAGGUCAAUGACCUCACUUGGCCUCGGCUUCGCUGACAAAGUUCAAAGCCUCAUAAUUUCGACCUCAGGUCGGGAACCUUAAAGGCUUCAGCGAGGUCGGCCUCAGCCUCUCCAGUUAAAAAAUGAGGCCUAUGGCGUCACAUGACCAAAAACCCAAAAAGAGGCCUAGAGCUGAGGCCAAAAAACUACCUCAAAAAGGCCGAGGCCCACCACUGGUUACAACUUGGAAUAAAAAAAUAUAGCAUAAAAAUAUAAUAUGGAAAGAGAGCGAAGCGAAGGUGUCAGAAAGUCGUCUUGGUCACUUGGUUACUCAAAUUUUGAGUGGAGAGAAGUUGAGUCUCAAAUCUCUCAGUGACCAGCAGCACGAAUUGCCACAGAAGUGAUUUUCCAUUGUCAACAGUUUAUAAAAGUUGCUCGAAAAAUAAACAGAAAAGAUUCCUACUAGGCGAAACCUUGAGGGGAAUACGGCAUUACGAUGAUUGCGUACAUUAUUUGUUUGGUGUUUGCUUCUCUCCUUGCUUCAAUGAACACAUCUUUAGAUAAAUUUACCUUGAAGUUUUUUGCCUAUAUGUACAAAGGCAACUGGUCUUACCGUAGCGAAAUCGAUACGGAAGCGGACAACGUUGGGGACCCUCCCGUCCUACCUCCAGGAUACGUCAACGAUGGUUUCCGGGGGAUCGGCCAUUUUGAAGAAUAAAUAAUUAUAAAUAAUUAUAUGGUGGAGAAAAUGCAGUAUCAUGAACGACGUCGGAUUUCUUUUCAAAAUUUGCUUAUAAACACCUUACUUUUUUGCUGGCGUCUUGAAACCUAAUAUUUCUGAACACUUUUUCUUUAAUAUUUCUUUGUCUUCGAUUUUCAUUUUUCAUCCGAAAAUCAUUUUUGGACUUGUUAAAUGUAAGAAACUAUAAGAAUCUGGCUUUUAUUGAAAAUUCAAAAACAAAAAAAGUUAUAAAUUUAAAAAUCAUAUUCAAAAUCCGAUUCGUAUUCGGAAAUACUUUUAGAAUAGCAAUCGUAUUUAUAUG